rnacentral:tRNA from 2 species
GCCAAAGUAGCUCAGUUGGUAGAGCAAUCCCUUCGUAAGGGAAAGGUCGUGGGUUCGACUCCCACCUUUGGCUCCA